UGUACAGGGAUGGGAAUCGAACCCACAGUUUUCCGCUUAACUGGCAGAUGCCAUGUCCACUAGGCUACCCUGGAC